rnacentral:lncRNA from 1 species
AUCCCAUAAUCUGUUGUUCAUCUUCUUCUCUACCUCCACUUGCGCGUCUAUCUCAUAGUUCAUCUUUUGCAUGUGCCUGACCAGACAAUUCUGACUUUCCCGAGAUGCAACGAACCAAACAUGUACUAAUACAACAGUUCAUAAAAGAGUAUACACAUUACCUAGGCAAGGAAAGACGUUAGAAACACGUUACUCCAACAGCAAAUACAAAAUGUGCGCACUCGCUGUU